rnacentral:rRNA from 1 species
CAUAUCAAUAAGCGGAGGAAAAGAAACCAACAGGGAUUGCCCCAGUAACGGCGAGUGAAGCGGCAACAGCUCAAAUUUGAAAUCUGGUCCCCAGGGCCCGAGUUGUAAUUUGCAGAGGAUGCUUUUGGUGAGGUGCCUUCCGAGUUCCCUGGAACGGGACGCCACAGAGGGUGAGAGCCCCGUCUGGUUGGAUACCGAGCCUCUGUAAAGCUCCUUCGACGAGUCGAGUAGUUUGGGAAUGCUGCUCUAAAUGGGAGGUAUAUGUCUUCUAAAGCUAAAUAUUGGCCAGAGACCGAUAGCGCACAAGUAGAGUGAUCGAAAGAUGAAAAGCACUUUGAAAAGAGGGUUAAAUAGUACGUGAAAUUGUUGAAAGGGAAGCACUUAUGACCAGACUUGGCCCCGGUGAAUCAUCCAGCGGUUCCCGCUGGUGCACUUUGCCGGGGUUCAGGCCAGCAUCAGUUCGCUCCGGGGGAUAAAGGCUUUGGGAAUGUGGCUCCCUCGGGAGUGUUAUAGCCCAUUGCGUAAUACCUUGUGGCGGGCUGAGGUUCGCGCUUUAUGCAAGGAUGCUGGCAUAAUGGUCAUCAGUGACCCGUCUUGAAACACGGACCAAGGAGUCGUCUUCGUAUGCGAGUGUUCGGGUGUUAAACCCCUACGCGUAAUGAAAGUGAACGCAGGUGAGAGCCCUCCAGGGCGCAUCAUCGACCGAUCCUGAUGUUCUCGGAUGGAUUUGAGUAAGAGCAUACGGGGCCGGACCCGAAAGAAGGUGAACUAUGCCUGUAUAGGGUGAAGCCAGAGGAAACUCUGGUGGAGGCUCGCAGCGGUUCUGACGUGCAAAUCGAUCGUCAAAUAUGGGCAUGGGGGCGAAAGACUAAUC